UUGUUAAGCAUCUAGUAAUAAACAACAUGUCAAAGAGCUCGUAUGAGAACUGGAGACAUUUUAGAAGAGGGUAAACCAGUCUAGGCAUGGGGAAAUCUAGAACAAGAGAGGAAGCAAUGAAGAAAGAGCUGGUGGCGACAGGCAUCUCUGCGUGCCAGGAUGAUAUCUCAGCUUGGACAUCGGCCCACCAUCAAGCUCAACCUCGACAAGACAGAACUGCUCUUCCACCCGGGGAAGGCAUGCCCGCUCAAAGACCUCUACAUCAUGGUUGACAACUCCACAGUGUCACCCUCCCAGUGCAAAUAACCUUGGUGCGACCCUGAACACCCAGUCGUUCUCUGCAAAUAUCAAAAAAGUGACCCUCUCCUGCAGGUUCAUGCUCUACAACAUCCAUAGAGUACGACCCUGCCUUACACAGGAAGCGGUGCAGGUCCUAAUUCAGGCACUUGUUCUGUCCCACCUGGACUACUGCAACUCGCUGUUAGCUGGGCUCCCCACUUGUGCCAUCAAACCCCUGCAACUUAUCCAGAACGUUGCGGCCCGCCUGGUUUUCAACCAUGUCACCCCUCUCCUCCGCACAUUCCACUUAAUGCCCUUUAAGUGUAAGAACUGUUUGAAAAGACUGCCUGAAAUUUCAGACUGUUUUGGUGGGAUGGAGUUUUGGCCUGCCUGGUGAAAUCACCAGGCGGUUAAUUAAUUAAUAGACCAAUAAGAGAGAUAGUUCCAAACCUCUCUGCCAAUUACAGGUAGUUUUCAGUUUUCCCCUCCCCACUCAGACCACCUCCAGAUAGUCCUAGCAGAGUUCUUGCUUGAGAAAUUGCUCUUUGCUAAGAAGCUAUUUUUGUUUCUUUUUGACCAUUUUAAUUGAAAACAAUCACAUUAAGGUACUUAAUUGUUACCCAGAAAUGAUUUGAUAUUGAGAUAAAAAAAAAAAUGGCUGCAUUGGGCCUUUAACAAUAUGAGAGCUUGGGACUAUAAAGUUCUAUCUCCAAUUGAAUCAACAUAUUGUUCUGUUCAAUGUUCUCUAUCUAUACAGGGUGCGUUUGUAAAUUCACUCUGGCUAUCUACUCUGAUUUCAGAGUGUGCCAGGGCACAGAAUAACCGGGGAAUUUACGAACACCCGUUGAAAAGGGCCGUUGUCAUUAAACGUUGGCAAAAAAAACGUAAUUCAAUUGUUGCUAGCAGCACAGUUACAGUCACCAGUGUGCACUCUUUUUGCAGAUAGAACGUCACAGUCUCAAGCUCUCAAAUAGUCAAUGUACAUUUCAUUCAUAACAUGCUGGAACACAGAGUAUAAAUAUGUAUAUCAAGUCAAAGACAGUCAAUGAGUCAGAAGAAAAAAGGCAGAUUUACAAUGAGUUGUCAUAUUUUGUGUGUGUUGUGGGUUCUUUUCUGAGGUUUAUUUUUGAACUACAUUGUCUUGGCUCAAAAAUAUACCCAUUUACAUGAAUGGAGGACAUACAAUAAAAUAAAUAUAUUCACAAGUUCUGUAACCUCAGCGAGUUAUCCCUGACCCUGGCACUUUCACGUUUGAUGACCAAAUAUUGUUUUGAUCAGCUUGAAGCUAUGGUACAAUGCGUAGAGGAACGUUAUACAUACAGAGACCUACACAACCUCCAGGUUCAAAUAUCUGACCCCAAUAACAAAAUAACAAUAACAAAUCUCACCAAUAAUAAAAAGUAGUUGUAAUAAUCUGAAACUUGUUUUGAUAGUGAAUGUAAAGUGAAAGUGGUUCCAAUGUACAACAGUCUAUAUACAGUAUAUAGUGCCAACUUGAGAUAAAAAAGGAAAUAAAACAAAUGCAACACAA